rnacentral:rRNA from 1 species
GGAGGAAAAGAAACCAACAGGGAUUCCCUUAGUAACGGCGAGUGAACCGGGAAAAGCUCAAAUUUGAAAUCUGCCAACAGGCCGAGUUGUAAUUUGUAGAUGGCUACACUGCAUAAUAGUAGAUGCUCAAGUUCUUUGGAAAAAGACAUCAUGGAGGGUGACAAUCCCGUGAGGCAUGUUACUAGGAGCAUAUAGUGGGCUUUCUAAGAGUCGAGUUGUUUGGGAAUGCAGCUCAAAGUGCGUGGUGAAUACCAUGUAAAGCUAAAUAUGGACGAGAGACCGAUAGCGAACAAGUACUGUGAAGGAAAGAUGAAAAGCACUCCGAAAGGAGAGUGAAAUAGUACGUGAAAUUGUUAAAGUGGAAGGGCUUGAGAUCAGAAUUGGUAGUUUGGGUUCCACGUCCUCUUGGGGGCGUGUACUCCCUUUCCACCGGGCCAGCGGGAGUUUCGUCUCUUGGGUAAAAGCAGUGGAAUGUAGCAGCUUGUCUGUAUUAUAGCCUCUGUUCAUACAAGACGUCGAGACUUGAUUUGUUGGCGUAAUGAUCUCUAGCCACCCGUCUUG